rnacentral:rRNA from 1 species
UACGGAGGGUGCAAGCGUUGUUAGGAAUUAUUGGGCGUAAAGAGCGCGUAGGCGGUCCUUUAAGUCAGAUGUGAAAGCCCAGGGCUCAACCCUGGAAGUGCAUUUGAAACUAAAGGACUUGAGUAUGGGAGAGGGAAGUGGAAUUCCUGGUGUAGCGGUGAAAUGCGUAGAUAUCAGGAGGAACACCGGUGGCGAAGGCGACUUCCUGGACCAAUACUGACGCUGAGGCGCGAAGGCGUGGUGAGCAAACAGG